UACGGAGGGGGCUAGCGUUGUUCGGAAUUACUGGGCGUAAAGGGCGCGUAGGCGGUUCUAUAAGUCAGAUGUGAAAGCCCCGGGCUUAACCCGGGAGGUGCAUUUGAAACUGUAGGGCUUGAGAUCGAGAGAGGAAAGUGGAAUUACGAGUGUAGAGGUGAAAUUCGUAGAUAUUCGUAAGAACACCAGUGGCGAAGGCGACUUUCUGGCUCGAUACUGACGCUGAGGUGCGAAAGCGUGGGGAGCAAACAGG
rnacentral:rRNA from 1 species